UCACUGAGAAGGCCCCAUUUGUCACUGUAAUAUUCUGCACAGUCUGUGAAAACGGCAUGGUUCUUCUCAGGCCACUGAUUUGUGGAAGAGAGCAGGUCAGCAGUCCUGUAGAAUGUUCAGAUAAGCUUUCACAUGCCCUCUGGAGAGUCACGUCCUAUUCUGAGAACCCCCAUUGUCUGAGCCAGCCCAUGGGGAGCACAGGCUUCAGGUUCUAAGCUUGGUGGUCUGGGAAGUCCCGGGAAGAGAAGAACCGAGCCACGGUCCCAGGAAGAGAAAAACAGAUAGUGGCCAGGCUCCAUGUGUGCCCGCCCUGCUCUCCUCAUCUCCCAUGGAUCCAUGUUCCUGAUCCUCACAGCUCUAGUCGUAUUCUCCACUUUCUCCAGGCCUAAGGACGCGGGUUGAAAGUCAUUCACUGCUGCCUCUGGAGGUUGAGUUGUUUUAAAGUGCUGCGAUCUACUAAGUCUUCAGAAAUUAGUUGAUCCAACUGUAAUCUUCUGAGCACAUGAGCUUUCUUUUCUUGAAGACUCAUUACACUUUCCUUCAGCUUGUUCUCGGCAGGAUGAGUGACUGCCUGUCCUGGAGGCCUCCUCAGAAGCCUCAUACCUGGCUCUCCGAUGGAGCCCACGGUUCUUCUGUACUUCCUCCCUAUGGUUCCUGGGCCUGGAGUGUGGGCUGGACAGGGCAAGGCCUGGAUUGUGUUCAUUAAACAAGAAGAUAAGCUCAUGGUUACCACAGGGAUUUUCUGUUUGUGCCCCUGCUAGGGGUUUGCUUGGCUUUGGAAGCCUUUCAUGUGCCCCGAAUGCUAUAAACCCUUGCAAUAAAUGUGAAGUGUAUAUAGUUUCUGCUACUUAUGGGAGGCAUUGAGG
rnacentral:lncRNA from 1 species